rnacentral:rRNA from 1 species
AUUGAACGCUGGCGGCAGGCCUAACACAUGCAAGUCGAACGAGUGGCGGACGGGUGAGUAAUGUCUGGGAAACUGCCCGAUGUAGGGGGAUAACUCCUGGAAACGGUGGCUAAUACCGCAUACCAUCGGAUGUGCCCAGAUGGGAUUAGCUAGUAGGUGGGGGACCGGCUCACCUAGGCGACGAUCCCUAGCUGGUCUGAGAGGGUGACCAGCCACACUGGGACUGAGACACGGUCCAGACGCCUACGGGAGGCAGCAGUGGGGAAUAUUGCGCAAUGGGCGCAAGCCUGACGCAGCCAUGCCGCGUGUAUGAAGAAGGCCUUCGGGUUGUAAAGUACUUUUGGGAGGGAGGCGGUACCCGCAGAAGAAGCAACGGCUAACUCCGUGCCAGCAGCCGCGGUAAUAC